rnacentral:lncRNA from 1 species
GGAAAUGUCAUGAUGUGGGUGGCUAUCUCUAAUGACUGUAAAAUAGAAAAGAUACUUGUUCCGGGUAAUUCAACCGCUUCAAGGUAGAGACGAAAUUCUCCAUUCUCACAGCAAGCAUGUUAUUGACAGACAGAGGGAGUUAUUUCAGCAAUACAGUACUAGAUCUCACACAGCGAGUUUAACAAUUUGCUACCUUGGAUUUCCAAAUCAGCGGACCUGAAUCCUAUUGAACAUGCAAAUAACUGGAUAAACAUGUGCGUCAGCGUUAACCCUCGAAUCUGAUCCUUGAUCAACUCCG